ensembl:rRNA 5S_rRNA 5S ribosomal RNA
GUCUUCGGCCAUACGACCGUGAACGCAGCUGAUCUCCUCUAAUCUUGGAAGCCAGGCAGGAUUGGGACUGGUUACUAUUUGGAUGGGAGACUGCCUGGAAUACCGGGUGCUGCAGCCU